GACGAACGCUGGCGGCGUGCCUAAUACAUGCAAGUAGAACGCUGAAGGAGGAGCUUGCUUCUCUGGAUGAGUUGCGAACGGGUGAGUAACGCGUAGGUAACCUGCCUGGUAGCGGGGGAUAACUAUUGGAAACGAUAGCUAAUACCGCAUAAGAGUAGAUGUUGCAUGACAUUUGCUUAAAAGGUGCAAUUGCAUCACUACCAGAUGGACCUGCGUUGUAUUAGCUAGUUGGUGGGGUAACGGCUCACCAAGGCGACGAUACAUAGCCGACCUGAGAGGGUGAUCGGCCACACUGGGACGGAGACACGGCCCAGACGCCUACGGGAGGCAGCAGGAGGGAAUCUUCGGCAAGGGACGGAAGUCUGACCGAGCAACGCCGCGUGAGGGAAGAAGGUUGUCGGAUCGUAAAGCUCUGUUGUAAGAGAAGAACGAGUGUGAGAGUGGAAAGUUCACACUGUGACGGUAUCUUACCAGAAAGGGACGGCUAACUACGUG
rnacentral:rRNA from 1 species